rnacentral:sRNA from 1 species
GUCGUGAGAUGUUGGGUUAAGUCCCGCAACGAGCGCAACCCUCGGGGUCUGUUGUAUCUCUCAGAUCCCACUGCCGAGAGAAACUCGGAGGAAGGUGGGGACGAAGUCAAGUCCGCGUGGCCUUUAUGUCUGGGGCUACACGCACGCUACAAUCGCCGGUCACAGCGGGUCGCGACAACGCAAGUUGAAGCUAAUCCCUUAAAACCGGCGUCAGUUCAGAUCGAAGGCUGCAACCCGCCUUCGUGAAGUCGGAGUUGCUAGUAACCGCGGGUCAGCACACCGCGGUGAAUAUGUUCCCGGGCCUUGUACACACCGCCCGUCACGUCAUGGGAGUCAGUAACACCCGAAGCCGGUAAGCCAACCGUAAGGAGGCAGCCGUCGAAGGUGGGAUUGGCGACUGGGACGAAGUCGUAACAAGGUAGCCGUACCGGAAGGUGCGGCUGGAUCACCUCCUUUCUAGGGAAUCUCGAGCGGACCCUUCGGGGUCUCGCUCAAGCUCUUUCCAGGUCGAUCGUCGAACCCUAAAAAGUCCGACGACUCCUUCCUUCAACGGAAGUGAUUCGAAUCAAAUACGCGGAGGGACCGUGCUCACACGGAAUCCCAAAGCGGCGACGAGACGCGCCCGUUCCUGCCACUCUUCUUCGGUUAACGAUCGCCCCUACCAUGGCGCCUGCUCCUCGGAGCAGCUACGCCGGGGGCGGUUAGCUCAGCUGGUUAGAGCACUGCCCUGAUAAGGCAGAGGUCUCUGGUUCGAGUCCAGAACCGCCCACCGCGGUUCGGGGUCCAAGAAUCCGAAUUACGCAGCUAUGCUGGCCGCUGCUUGGGGCCUAACCCAAACGGGGCUCCAAUCCCGGGGCCGUGGCUCAGCUGGUAGAGCGUCUCCUUUGCAAGGAGAAGGUCAGGAGUUCGAAUCUCCUCGGCUCCACCGCCAAUGUUCCGCGUAUCAUGGAAAAUCCGCCGGCGUGAUCACCGCAUGCAACGACGAGGAGGCCAGCCCGCGUAUAACCAGCUUCCGAAUGAUCGUGCGUUCGAGCCCGUGCACGUCCAUGCGCCGUGCCCGGACUCGAGCGAACGGUGAACCUUAACAAGUGAAGAGGAAGACGAAAACGAGUUUCGCCAAUAGCGAAAGUUCGUACCGAUCGUCAAUUUAUUUUGAGAACCAAACGGCAUCUGCCUGCCCUCGUGGGCCGGGCUGGAUGCUGGAUUAGGUCAAGCUACAAAGGGCGCACGGCGGAUGCCUUGGCGCUAGAGGCCGAAGAAGGACGCGGUCACCUGCGAUAAGUUCCGGGUAGCUGGUAGCAAGCGUUGAUCCGGAAAUUU